rnacentral:tRNA from 4 species
GGGGAUAUAGCUCAGUGGUAGAGCAUUCGACUGCAGAUCGAAUGGUCCCCGGUUCAAACCCGGGUGUCCCCU